UUUUUUUUUUUUUUUUUGUCUUUUUGUCCUUUUAGGGCCGCCCCGGCGGCCUAUGGAGGCUCCCGGGCUAGGGGUCUAAUCAGAGCUGUAGCUGCCAGCCUAUGCCAAGAGCCACAGCAACUCGGGAUCCGAGCUGCGUCUGCAACCUACACCACAGGAAACGGCAACACCAGAUCCUUAGCCCACUGAGCAAGGCCAGGGAUCAAACCCGCAACCGCAUGGUCCUUAGUCGGUUUCAUUAACCACUGAGCCACAACAGGAACUCCUGCAGUGGCUUUUUUAAUAAAAGUGUACGUAUUCCACCAGCAGCCUCCCUCACUCCCUGGUGUCAUCACUCACACCCCCCAUCACCACCCCCAGGCUCUGAAAGUCUGGGCGGAGUCCUGGGCGGCUCAGGGCUCAGCCAAGGGAAGGGGUCCCUCCGGGAAGAGUGUGACCACCAAUGCUCCCACCAAGCAAGGCUUUCAUUUUGGCCAAGAGAAAGGGAUUGCGAAAGACGUGGGUGAUCAGAAUGUUAACCAUAAAUAAAAGAGCAAACGGGCCACAUUCUGCUGCAGUUACACCCUCCGCCCCAGCCGUCCAGCCACUUGACUCUUUUAUUUAAUUUCUCUUGCUUUUUAGGGCCACACUUGCAGCAUAUGGAAGUUCCCAGGCUAGGAGUCAAUUCGGAGCUGCAGCUGCCAGCCUACACCACAGCCACAGCAAUAUUUCCAUUCCAAAGGGACACGUUUCCUUUCCCACAGGAGGCUGCGGCGUCAGGCUUACUGCCUCAUCACACAUGGAUUUCUGUCUCCCACAUCUCGUCAAGGGAACAGGAGACAAAAUACUUCACCGUGUAACAGUUCAAACAUGGCUUUGAGCCCAAUCCAUAAAAUACAGAAAAUCCAUAGUACCAGGUAUACAGGUAGUACUUUAAAAAUACAUCCCACAUCUGGUGGCUGGGAUCAUUCCAAGAAGCCACUUGUGCAAAGCUAUAAACAACAACGGCUGUAUUUUCAUAGGAGCUAUUGUAUCUUUCAGAGCCCACAUUUCACUAAACUGCUCUGCCACCUAAAGCUGGUGGUCCCACUGGGAUUUCCUAGGGGGAAGGGCAGUGAUUCAAGCAAUUAGAUCCUGGCGCCUCCACCGGUCCCCGUGGUUUCCACAGUGGACGGGGGAGCAGAGGCUACAUCAGCCCCGCAACGUGGGGUGCAACCGAGGUGACUCCUGGCAUUUCAGGCUGCAGUCUGGGGGUCUCUGACCCUCCUGGUUCAUUCUUUGCAAGGGCUACCUGGAGGGUGGUGGUUUAAAAGAGAACCCCAGGAUUUUAGGAGAAUGGGCUCUGGGGGACGUUCGGCAGGAGGGGGCAGAAGGCCAGAAAUUGAGAGCCCCCACUAGAACCGCAACACAUGGCAAGACGGGGGGUGGGAGGGGGCGGCCCUGCAUUCAGAAAGGCACGUGGGUCUGAAGAGCACGGGGGUCCACCAGGCUUGAUCCAAAAGAACACGCCCUGGAGCAAAGGAGGCCCUAGUCUGGGGUUUGAGGGGUCGACUCAUUCAUGGAUUCACCUGUCCACUCAUUCGCAGAAUGUGCCAGGGCUGGGGAAGGGCAGGACAGCUCCUGGCAAUAGCACAUGCAAAGGCCCUGGGGUGAGAGCGCUAGGCAGGUCCAGGGUCUGGAAGGGCUGGGUGGCCAGGGUGCUGGGGGCGAGGCGGCGUGUGGUGAGGGUGGGGGGCAGGCCCCAGGACUCAAAGGGCCUCGAGACCCAUGGGGUAUGGAUUUUAUCCCGGGAAGAAUGAAAGACCCUGAGGGUCUCUAGUCGGAAAGAAAGGGCAGGGAUUUCCCUUCUCUGGGAAGGUUAUGGGGUCACUGGAGGGAGGCAAGAAGAGGCUGGAAGAGAGGGGAGUAAGGCGGGGGGCUGCUGAAUUCAACCAGGAGAGACCCAGAGGCAGCCUGGAAAUAGUUAGGAGCCCAGAUACAUGUAACUGUGAUCUUCCGCCACCUCCUGAGGCAAAGCUCCCGUGCAGCUGAACCCAAAUCAAAGAUUCCUUCAUGCACUUACUGUUACAAUUCACAUAGUUACCAACUGAUUUCUGUGCUCUAUAAAUUGUAUGUGUGUGCAUCGGGGCGGGGGGCGGGGGGGGAUACCAGGAUUUCGCGAAGGGGGAAGCGCUGGAACAUAGCGGAAGCGCUGGAACAUAGCUGUCCCCCCACCCAAACUCUCCAAGUGAGCUUGCAGCCGAUGUAACGCGUCUCACCACAGAGGUGUCACCCCGUCCACACCUACUGGCUCCCGGUGGGCCAGACCCCGGGCUGAUCCACUUAGCCGCAGUGUGGACGGCAGCAUUCUAACCCAGAUUCCCAGUCCCGGUUACUCAAUCAGACAUGAUUCUAGGCACUGCUAAGACUCCUGCGAUGGGAUCAGGGUUAUAAUCAGCUGACUUGAGGCAGCGAGAUCAUUGGGAAUGAUCCAGAUUUGUCAUAGCAGGAGCCCUCACAGCAGAGGGGAGACGGGGGCUGGAGAGAGGGACAAGCGGGGAGGGACUCGGCCUGCCCUGCUGGCCUUGAGGGGGCCACACGCCGGGCAAUGCAGUGGCCUCUGAAAGCUGAGGACCACCCCCAACAGCCAUUAGGGAAGCAGGGACC
rnacentral:lncRNA from 1 species